rnacentral:rRNA from 1 species
AGAACGAACGCUGGCGGCAUGCCUAAUACAUGCAAGUCGAACGAACUCUUCGGAGUUAGUGGCGCACGGGUGCGUAACGCGUGGGAAUCUGCCCCUUGGUUCGGAAUAACAGUUGGAAACGACUGCUAAUACCGGAUGGUGACGAAAGUCCAAAGAUUUAUCGCCAAGGGAUGAGCCCGCGUAGGACUAGCUAGUUGGUGAGGUAAAGGCUCACCAAGGCAACGAUCCUUAGCUGGUCUGAGAGGAUGAUCAGCCACACUGGGACUGAGACACGGCCCAGACUCUACGGGAGCAGCAGGUAGGGAAUAGUUGGACAAGUGGGACAAAGCCUAGACUCCAGCAAUGCCGCGUAGAGUGAC